AGUGAACGCUGGCGGUAGGCCUAACACAUGCAAGUCGAACGGCAGCACAGUAAGAGCUUGCUCUUACGGGUGGCGAGUGGCGGACGGGUGAGGAAUACAUCGGAAUCUACUUUUUCGUGGGGGAUAACGUAGGGAAACUUACGCUAAUACCGCAUACGACCUACGGGUGAAAGCAGGGGAUCUUCGGACCUUGCGCGAUUGAAUGAGCCGAUGUCGGAUUAGCUAGUUGGCGGGGUAAAGGCCCACCAAGGCGACGAUCCGUAGCUGGUCUGAGAGGAUGAUCAGACACACUGGAACUGAGACACGGUCCGGACUCCUACGGGAGGCAGCAGUGGGGAAUAUUGGACAAGGGGCGCAAGCCUGAUCCAGCCAUACCGCGUGGGUGAAGAAGGCCUUCGGGUUGUAAAGCCCUUUUGUUGGGAAAGAAAAGCAGCAGGUUAAUACCCCGCUGUUCUGACGGUACCCAAAGAAUAAGCACCGGCUAACUUCGUG
rnacentral:rRNA from 1 species